ensembl:lncRNA
CGGGGAAGGGCACAGGGAAAUACUAGCAGAGCGAGCCUGGGUCGGGUCCUGCUAGCGCAGUGUGUGCCUGGUGGUCGCGCUUCAAGGCAAUUCAAGCUCCACGUUGGUAACAUCAAAGUGCUCUCUCCUCAUUGGACCGUUUUCAGGAACUGACAUCAGUUUUCAUGUAGCUUAAGCUUAAAAAGGAGACAUGGAUUUGAUCCCUGAUCUGGGAAGAUCCCACAUGCCUUGGAGCAGCUGAGCUUGUGUGCCACAGCUGCUGAGCCUGCUUUCUAGAGCCUGGGAGCUGCAACUACCGUGGCCGGGCACCCUAGAGCCCAUGCUCAGAAACGGGAGAAGCCGCCACGGUGAGAAGCCCACGUACCACAACUGGAGAGUAGCCGCCACUCACCGCAACUAGAGGAAAGCCUACGGAGCAAUGAAGACCCAGCACAACCAAAUAAAUUAAUUUUUUAAAAAAAGUGAAUUCUGUCAGAUUUGUGAUUAGUUAGUAGAAAAUGCUUAAGAACAAAGAGCAUUUUGGUAACUAGAGGGUCAGAU